GAUGAACGCUGGCGGCGUGCCUAAUACAUGCAAGUCGAGCGAACGGACGAGAAGCUUGCUUCUCUGAUGUUAGCGGCGGACGGGUGAGUAACACGUGGAUAACCUACCUAUAAGACUGGUAUAACUUCGGGAAACCGGAGCUAAUACCGGAUAAUCUUUUGAACCGCAGGGUUCAAUAGUGAAAGACGGUCUUUCUGUAUCUUCUAGCUGGUUCCGCGCUGCAUUAGCUAGUUGUUAAGGUAACGGGUUAUCAAGGCAAGCAUGCAUAGCCGACCUGAGAGAGUGAUCGGCCACACUGGAACGUGGACACGGACCAGACUCCUACGAGAGGCAGCAGUAGGGAAUGGUACGCAGUAGGCGAGAGCAUGACGGAACAGCGCCGAGUGAGAGAUAGAGGUCUUCGGAUCGUAAAGCUCUGUUAUUAGUGAAGAACAUAUGUGUAAGUAACUGUGCACAUCUUGACGGUACCUAGUCAGAAAGCAACGGCUAACUACGUG
rnacentral:rRNA from 1 species